CCUACGGGAGGCAGCAGUGAGGAAUAUUGGUCAAUGGACGCAAGUCUGAACCAGCCAUGCCGCGUGCAGGAAGACUGCUCUAUGAGUUGUAAACUGCUUUUGUACGAGGGUAAACGCAGAUACGCGUAUCUGUCUGAAAGUAUCGUACGAAUAAGGAUCGGCUAACUCCGUGCCAGCAGCCGCGGUAAUACGGAGGAUUCGAGCGUUAUCCGGAUUUAUUGGGUUUAAAGGGAGCGUAGGCGGUCGGAUAAGUUAGAGGUGAAAUCUUGAGGCUCAACUUUGGAAUUGCCUCUGAUACUGGUAGGCUAGAGAGUAGUUGAGGUAGGCGGAAUGUAUGGUGUAGCGGUGAAAUGCUUAGAGAUCAUAAAGAACACCGAUUGCGAAGGCAGCUUACCAAGCUACUUCUGACGUUGAGGCACGAAAGCGUGGGGAGCAAACAGGAUUAGAUACCCGAGUAGUC
rnacentral:rRNA from 1 species